UACCUCUCACCCCCUCUGUGUGCUUCCCAGCAGCAUGAAAGAGAAGGGAUAAAAGAAGGGAUAAGGAAAGGUUGAGCCUGCCUGACCUCAGCAUUUUCUUGUUCAGCUUUUCAUUUCCUGAUUUGGAAUCUUUACCUAAGACACCUUGAGGUUUAGUGCUGUUUCUUUGGGCAAGAAGCAAUUGGAAUUGAUUUGUCAAUUUUGUGAUGUGCUUUGCUUUUUUGGAAAAGGAUAGAAGAGUUUCCAGUCUGAAUUUGCAAAUCUAUUUUUAAGUCUUGCUGCAAAUAAAAUGAAAGAACUUAAAUUUCCCUCAGCUGUUGUCAGCAAUAAAGCUGGGGGGUGAUUUUUCCUCCUUUUGUACAAAUGAAAUGUUAUUUCUCCUUCUCUUCACACAUGUAUAUUUAUAUACAGAGUGAUAUAUCACCGGUUUCUCUCAAGAAAAAAGGAUAUGGCGGAAAUCUGAACAACUGAAGACUGACGAAAUACAGUGAGUCAGAGCAAACCUGACUCCUCUAAUUGCACUGGAUACAAGGACACAGUCCUUCCCCAAGGACUCUGCACAAGAGGACACAUUUGGUUUUUGCCUGCUAACAUUCCCUGAUACCACUUACCAAAACAAGAUACAGAAGCAGAAAUCACAGAAACCAACAAAAGCACAAAGGAAAUCUUUUAUGAAAGGCUCAUUAGAACAAAGGCUUGGUUAAAGUUGCAUACUUAGAUGGAUUAAGUCUGGACCACACUUUGCAGGCAAGCCUCCAGAUUCAGCUACAGAACCUGGAGGAGCCAAUUUAUCACUUCUUUCAUAAAUCAAAAGGCAAUUCCUACAAACAGUAAUGAUCAGUCCACUCAGGAUCAGACUCAGAAAAAUAAAACUGAACUUUCUACUGCCUCAUGAAGAUACCUUAAAAUAUGGCCUGUAAUUUUACCAUGCUUAGUUUGGGAUAUUUCAAAUACUUUAGGAGCUGGUCAGGGUAAGAGCAGCCUUAUUCUCUAAGCGUCAUCCAAGCCAGACAGGCACUGUGGGGCAGAGAAAGCCAGGAGGGUCCUGAGAGUGGGUCAGGUAUUCUCCCUUUUUAGAGGAGGGGUCUAAGGUACAUAGAUCAAGCCUAAAUACAUUCCAUUUAACUAAGGAAAAAGUCUAAUAUGAUCAUAUUUUACAAGAGCUUUGUAAAAGAUUUGUGAUAAGAAAAGGCAUGAGGAAGUUUCAUGCCUUUAAGUAGAAAUCAAAUAAACUGUUAAGAGGAAUAAGA